GUGGGCCUCUCAUAGUGUCCCAUGCGAGAGCAAACUGUGACCCCAAACCAUUGCCUGGCCUCUGUCCAUGGGCUACUGGCACUGAAGCGGGUUACACAGCA
rnacentral:snoRNA from 1 species